GGUGAGACAAGGGCCUGUUGCUGGGUUGCUUCUGCAUAUCCCAUUCAAACCACUCUGCUCAAGCAGUGUGUGUAGUCUGUGUGGUGAGUCUGCAAGGAAUGCUGUGAUAUGGAAAGUACAAAGGCAGAGCUGUGCACAUGGCACAUGGCACCUGGGGUGCAGAGGUUCAAGUUUUUCUGCAACAAGAAAAGAUGAUUAAAGGUGCUUAAUAUUAGCAGCUCAAAUGCUGUUGAAACAAAAAAUAUGGCUGCUGAUCCAAAAAGAACAGGGAUUGUAGCUAUUACUCGUGCACUAAAAUUGAUGAAAACUGGCACAGGAUACAGGAUUAAAAAGAGAGUAAAGAAAGAUGAAAGACAGAAAAACCAGGGAGAGCCUUCUAGACCCUAACAACGUGAGAGAGCUGCAAAAGAGAAGUUGAAGUGAAAAUGCAAAGAAUUCCCUGAAGAAAGCAAACAAGUAAAAAGAAGAGUGAAUGAGAGAGCUGAAACAACACCAAGAAAGGAAUAAACAGAGAAAGGCAGAGAGUAAUCACUGUGCUUGGAGAGAUCAGUGGGAGUGA